rnacentral:rRNA from 1 species
GACGAACGCUGGCGGCGUGCUUAACACAUGCAAGUCGAACGGAAAGGCCCUGCUUUUGUGGGGUGCUCGAGUGGCGAACGGGUGAGUAACACGUGAGUAACAUGCCCUUGACUUUGGGAUAACUUCAGGAAACUGGGGCUAAUACCGGAUAGGAGCUCCUGCUGCAUGGUGGGGGUUGGAAAGUUUCGGCGGUUGGGGAUGGACUCGCGGCUUAUCAGCUUGUUGGUGGGGUAGUGGCUUACCAAGGCUUUGACGGGUAGCCGGCCUGAGAGGGUGACCGGCCACAUUGGGACUGAGAUACGGCCCAGACUCCUACGGGAGGCAGCAGUGGGGAAUAUUGCACAAUGGGCGGAAGCCUGAUGCAGCAACGCCGCGUGCGGGAUGACGGCCUUCGGGUUGUAAACCGCUUUCGCCUGUGACGAAGCGUGAGUGACGGUAAUGGGUAAAGAAGCACCGGCUAACUACGU